rnacentral:rRNA from 1 species
UACGUAGGAGGCAAGCGUUAUCCGGAAUGACUGGGCGUAAAGGGUGCGUAGGUGGUUUGAUAAGUUGGUAGCGUAAUUCCGAGGCUCAACCUCGGCGCUACUACCAAAACUGUCGGACUUGAGUGCAGGAGGGGCAAAUGGAAUUCCUAGUGUAGCGGUGAAAUGCGUAGAGAUUAGGAAGAACACCAGUGGCGAAGGCGACUUACUGGACUGUAACUGACGCUGAGGCAUGAGAGCAUGGGGAGCAAACAGG